UAGUCAUCCAUCUGGAUCACUUCAAUAUCCUUUGUCCCGUGCCACUCUCCUAGCUGUACAUCGAUCCCCUUGGCAAUGCCUUUGGUGCGCACCCAUUUGGAGUUGACGGUCUUUACCCAACCUCCAGCGCUAUCAGCUUUUAAGCCUAACUUGGCAGCACCUUGUUCAGACACAAAUAAAUCAGAGGCGCCCGUGUCCACCAAGGCCUCCAC
rnacentral:lncRNA from 1 species